rnacentral:rRNA from 1 species
GACGAACGCUGGCGGCGUGCUUAACACAUGCAAGUCGAACGAAGUGGCGAACGGGUGAGUAACGCGUAAUCAACCUGCCCUUCAGAGGGGGACACCAGUUGGACACGACUGCUAAUACCGCAUACAGAAGGAGGGGAUUGCGUCUGAUUAGCUAGUUGGAGGGGUAAGGGCCCACCAAGGCGAUGAUCAGUAGCCGCUCUGAUAGGAGGAACGGCCACAUUGGGACUGUGGCACGUCCCAGACGCCUACGGGAGGCAGCAGUGGGGAAUCGUCCGGAAUGGACGAAAGUCUGACGGAGCAACGCCGCGUGAGUGAUGACGGCCUUCGGGUUGUAAAGCUCUGUUAAUCGGGACGCGGUACCGGAAUAGAAAGCCACGGCUAACUACGUGCCAGCAGCCGCGGUAAUUC